rnacentral:rRNA from 1 species
UUCCUACGGGGGGCUGCAGUGGGGAAUAUUGGACAAUGGGCGCAAGCCUGAUCCAGCCAUGCCGCGUGUGUGAAGAAGGCCUUCGGGUUGUAAAGCACUUUUGUUCGGGAAGAAAUCGUGCGGAUUAAUACUUCGUACGGAUGACGGUACCGAAAGAAUAAGCACCGGCUAACUUCGUGCCAGCAGCCGCGGUAAUACGAAGGGUGCAAGCGUUACUCGGAAUCACUGGGCGUAAAGCGUGCGUCGGCGGUUGGUUAAGUCUGCUGUGAAAGCCCUGGGCUCAACCUGGGAACUGCAGUGGAUACUGGCUAGCUAGAGUGUGAUAGAGGAUGGUGGAAUUCCCGGUGUAGCGGUGAAAUGCGUAGAGAUCGGGAGGAACACCAGUGGCGAAGGCGGCCAUCUGGAUCAACACUGACGCUGAGGCACGAAAGCGUGGGGAGCAAACAGGAUUAGAUACCCUAGUAGUCC